rnacentral:rRNA from 1 species
UACGAAGGGGGCUAGCGUUGCUCGGAAUUACUGGGCGUAAAGGGCGCGUAGGCGGACAGUUUAGUCAGAGGUGAAAGCCCAGGGCUCAACCUUGGAAUUGCCUUUGAUACUGGCUGUCUUGAGUUCGGGAGAGGUGAGUGGAAUGCCGAGUGUAGAGGUGAAAUUCGUAGAUAUUCGGCGGAGCACCAGUGGCGAAGGCGACUCACUGGCCCGAUACUGACGCUGAGGCGCGAAAGCGUGGGGAUCAAACAGG